rnacentral:SRP_RNA from 1 species
UGCCAGGAACCAUGCGAGAGAUCGCCGCCUAACCCCGCCAGGUCCGGAAGGAAGCAGCGGUCGGCGGUUGGUUUUUGCGCCGUGGCCCUCCUGGCGCGG